GUGGGGAAUCUUGCGCAAUGGGCGAAAGCCUGACGCAGCCAUGCCGCGUGGAUGAUGAAGGUCUUAGGAUUGUAAAAUCCUUUCACCGGUGAAGAUAAUGACUGUAGCCGGAGAAGAAGCCCCGGCUAACUUCGUGCCAGCAGCCGCGGUAAUACGAAGGGGGCUAGCGUUGCUCGGAUUUACUGGGCGUAAAGGGCGCGUAGGCGGACAUUUAAGUCAGGGGUGAAAUCCCGGGGCUCAACCUCGGAACUGCCUUUGAUACUGGGUGUCUUGAGUAUGAGAGAGGUGUGUGGAACUCCGAGUGUAGAGGUGAAAUGCGUAGAGAUCGGGAGGAACACCAGUGGCGAAGGCGGCCUGCUGGACAUUAACUGACGCUGAGGAGCGAAAGCGUGGGGAGCAAACAGGAUUAGAUACCCUGGUAGUCC
rnacentral:rRNA from 1 species